rnacentral:rRNA from 1 species
AACGAACGCUGGCGGCAUGCCUAACACAUGCAAGUCGAACGAGACCUUCGGGUCUAGUGGCGCACGGGUGCUUAACGCGUGUGAACCUGCCCUUAGGUUCGGAAUAACUCCCCGAAAGGGGUUCUAAUACCGGAUAAUGUCUUCGGACCAAAGAUUUAUCUCCUUUGGAUGGGCCCGCGUUGGAUUAGCUAGUUGGUAGGGUAAAAGCCUACCAAGGCGACGAUACAUAGCUGGUCUGAGAGGAUGAUCAGCCACACUGGGACUGAGACACGGCCCAGAAGAAUACGGGAGGAAGCAGAGGGGAAUAUAAGAAAAUGGGAGAAAGAAUGAACAAGAAAUGCAGGGUGAGUGAUGAAGGCCUUAGGGUAGUAAAGAUCUUUUACAAGGGAUGAUAAUGACAGUAACGGGAGAAUAAGCACCGGCUAACUCCGUG